UCGAUUGGAAACAACCUCUCUGCCCUUUCGGGUUGGGGUAAGGCUCGUCUACAUAUUACCCUCCCCAGACCCCACUUUGUGAGACUAUACUGGGUAGUUGUUGUUGUUGUAUUAUCCUCAACGUUUUCUGCUUUUGCCCUCCGUUUUUCCCCUAGAUGAAUUGGCAAAAAUAUGACAAUCCGAGGUCCAAAUUAUAGGUGAUGUUUGUGGCCAAAACUCUAAUUAAAGAAUAGGGUGUCAUCUCCCAAAUGCACAUACAUUAGGGAUAUAAAUCACAAAAACCCUAAUUUUCUCUAUUUAAUGAUCUUGUUUCUCC
rnacentral:lncRNA from 1 species